CUGGCCUGUGCCUACUGGGGAAAAAGCGACAUCAGUUAAAAUUUUGAAACAUACGGGUCUUAGACCUGUGGCAACGAUAAAUGUGGUUGGCAGUGAAGCACACCAACGAUACCUGUUGUCGGUGAACAUACCUUGGCCGCGGUUUGCACCAUAUCCAGAACUGUUGGUCGAGAGUGAACAAACGCCGGCCAAGCUGGAACAGUACCGAAGUUUUAUGCGGUCCGUCAUACACUUUAUUUAUGCCUUUCGAGGGAAUUCUAAUCUGCACCAAGAAGUUAAGGAUAGCUGCGAUGAAAGUUCAGAGGAAAACACUGACGCCAGCGAUAAAGAUGAUACUAUCCGUAAAGUGGUCGGUGAUAUCGUCCAAGUUGAGGUGGCUCUUGCUAAAAUGGCGGUAACUGCGAAGAAACAGAAAGAAAAAGUCCAAAUCACUACCAUAGAACAAUGGCAAACUGAGCUCGGC